UACGAAGGGGGCUAGCGUUGUUCGGAAUCACUGGGCGUAAAGCGUACGUAGGCGGCUAUUCAAGUCAGAGGUGAAAGCCCAGGGCUUAACCCUGGAAAUGCCUUUGAGACUGGAUAGCUAGAGCACGGAAGAGGUAAGUGGAAUUCCGAGUGUAGAGGUGAAAUUCGUAGAUAUUCGGAGGAACACCCGUGGCGAAGGCGGCUUACUGGGCCGUUGCUGACGCUGAGGUACGAAAGCGUGGGGAUCAAACAGG
rnacentral:rRNA from 1 species